ACUCCUACGGGAGGCAGCAGCAGGGAAUCUUGCGCAAUGGGCGAAAGCCUGACGCAGCAACGCCGCGUGAGGGAUGAAGGCCUUCGGGUUGUAAACCUCUUUCAGAAGGGAAGAAAUUGACGGUACCUUCAGAAGAAGCCCCGCCGCAACUACGUGCCAGCAGCCGCGGUAAUACGUAGGGCGAAGCGUUGUCCGGAAUUAUUGGGCGUAAAGAGCUCGUAGGCGGCUCAGCAAGUCGACUGUGAAAUCCCGAGGCUCAACCUCGGAACUGCAGUCGAUACUGCUGUGGCUUGAGUCUGGUAGAGGAGAAUGGAAUUCCCGGUGUAGCGGUGAAAUGCGCAGAUAAUCGGGAGGAACACCAGUAGCGAAGGCGGUUCUCUGGGCCAGUACUGACGCUGAGGAGCGAAAGCGUGGGUAGCAAACAGGAUUAGAUACCCUGGUAGGCUUUGC
rnacentral:rRNA from 1 species